AAUGAACGCUGGCGGCAUGGAUUAGGCAUGCAAGUCGAACGGGACACCUUCGGGUGUCUAGUGGCGGAAGGGUGAGUAACACGUGAGCAACCUGCCCCCGAGUCUGGAAUAAGCGAUGGAAACGUCGUCUAAUACCGGAUGAGGACUGGGGUCUCCUGACUCCAACUCCAAAGAUUUAUCGCUUGGGGAUGGGCUCGCGUCCCAUUAGCUAGUUGGCGGGGUAAUGGCCCACCAAGGCUGUGACGGGUAGGUGGACUGAGAGGUUGGUCACCCACACUGGGACUGAGACACUGCCCAGACUCCUACGGGAGGCUGCAGUCGAGAAUCGUCCGCAAUGGGCGCAAGCCUGACGGAGCGAUGCCGCGUGAGGGAAGAAGGCCUUCGGGUUGUAAACCUCUGUCACCCGGGACGAAAACAAUGACGGUACCGGGAGAGGAAGUCACGGCUAACUACGUGCCAGCCGCCGCAGUAA
rnacentral:rRNA from 1 species